GAUGAACGCUGGCGGCGUGCCUAAUACAUGCAAGUCGAGCGAACGGACGAGAAGCUUGCUUCUCUGAUGUUAGCGGCGGACGGGUGAGUAACACGUGUAUAACCUACCUAUAAGACUGGAUAACUUCGGGAAACCUGAGCUAAUACCGGAUAAUAUUUUGAACCGCUUGGUUCAAAAGUGAAAGACGGUCUUGCUGUCACUUAUAUAUGGAUCCGCGCUGCAUUAGCUAAUUGGUAAUGUAACGGCUUACCAAGGCAACGAUGCAUAGCCGACCUGAGAGGGUGAUCGGCCACACUGGAACUGAGACACGGUCAAGACUCCUACGGGAGGCAGCAGUAGGGAAUCUUCCGAAAUGGGCGAAAGCCUGACGGAGAAACGCCGCGUGAGUGAUGAAGGUCUUCGGAUCGUAAAACUCUGUUAAUAGGGAAGAACAUAUGUGUAAGUAACUGUGCACAUCUUGACGGUACCUAAUCAGAAAGCCACGGCUAACUACGUG
rnacentral:rRNA from 1 species